CUGGGUGAGAUCUUGUCUAAAGAAAUGAGAAAUACAGUUGUAGCCAUGGGAUCUCCAACUGCAUACCAGAGUAACUGUAGAGACUUUGACAGCCCAGGUGAGCAUGGUGCCUGCAGCUGCCACUCAGCUUUCCCAUGUGC